GGGGAGUACGGGGCUGGUGCCCCCCGCGGGCUGCAAACCCGGCGGCCGGCCUGCAGAACAGGCUGGAGUCCGGUUCGAUUCCGACUACUCCCC
rnacentral:tRNA from 1 species